rnacentral:rRNA from 1 species
AGCAGUCGCCACGGUAAUACGUAGGUGGCAAGCGUUGUCCGGAAUUAUUGGGCGUAAAGCGCGCGCAGGUGGUUUAAUAAGUCUGAUGUGAAAGCCCACGGCUCAACCGUGGAGGGUCAUUGGAAACUGUUAAACUUGAGUGCAGGAGAGAAAAGUGGAAUUCCUAGUGUAGCGGUGAAAUGCGUAGAGAUUAGGAGGAACACCAGUGGCGAAGGCGGCUUUUUGGCCUGUAACUGACACUGAGGCGCGAAAGCGUGGGGAGCAAACAGGAUUAGAUACCCCGGUAGUCCCUGUCUCUUAUAC